ACAGCUCUUCUCCUGGGCCCUGGCUGGCAGCAUGUAAGAGGAGGGGGGAGCUGCUGGAGGCUACAAGUCGUCAAAGGCAUCUUCUGGACGAUGGGAUCUCCUACAUGAAUAGUGAAUACCGACUGCAGAUGCCAUCUGCCUCAGACGAUACAGUUCUUCAGAGGAUCCACAGUGUGAGAAACCAUCAUACAG